AGAGGCAAGACAGAGCAGGACAGGUAUAGUGAGGGAUCAGAGGCAAGACAGGGCAGGACAGGUAUAGUGAGGGACCAGAGGAAAGACAGGGCAGGACAGGUAUAGUGAGGGACCAGAGGAAAGACAGGGCAGGACAGGUAUAGUGAGGGACCAGAGGAAAGACAGGGCAGGACAGGUAUAGUGAGGGACCAGAGGAAAGACAGGGCAGGACAGGUAUAGUGAGGGACCAGAGGAAAGACAGGGCAGGACAGGUAUAGUGAGGGACCAGAGGAAAGACAGGGCAGGACAGGUAUAGUGAGGGACCAGAGGUAAGACAGGGCAGGACAGGUAUAGUGAGGGACCAGAGGUAAGACAGGGCAGGACAGGUAUAGUGAGGGACCAGAGGUAAGACAGGGCAGGACAGGUAUAGUGAGGGACCAGAGGUAAAACAGGGCAGGACAGGUAUA